rnacentral:rRNA from 1 species
UACACUCCUACGGGAGACAGCAGUGGGGAAUUUUGGACAAUGGGCGAAAGCCUGAUCCAGCAAUGCCGCGUGCAGGAUGAAGGCCUUCGGGUUGUAAACUGCUUUUGUACGGAACGAAAAAGCUCCUUCUAAUACAGGGGGCCCAUGACGGUACCGUAAGAAUAAGCACCGGCUAACUACGUGCCAGCAGCCGCGGUAAUACGUAGGGUGCGAGCGUUAAUCGGAAUUACUGGGCGUAAAGCGUGCGCAGGCGGUUAUGUAAGACAGAUGUGAAAUCCCCGGGCUCAACCUGGGAACUGCAUUUGUGACUGCAUGGCUAGAGUACGGUAGAGGGGGAUGGAAUUCCGCGUGUAGCAGUGAAAUGCGUAGAUAUGCGGAGGAACACCGAUGGCGAAGGCAAUCCCCUGGACCUGUACUGACGCUCAUGCACGAAAGCGUGGGGAGCAAACAGGAUUAGAAACCCCAGUAGUCCCAUGAU